rnacentral:rRNA from 1 species
AUUGAACGCUGGCGGCAGGCCUAACACAUGCAAGUCGAGCGGAUGAAGGGAGCUUGCUCCUGGAUUCAGCGGCGGACGCGUGAGUAAUGCCUAGGAAUCUGCCUGGUAGUGGGGGAUAACGUCUGGAAACGGGUGCUAAUACUGCAUACGACCUGAGGGUGAUAGUGGGGGGUCUUCGGACCUCAUGCUCUCUGAGGAGCCUAGGCCGGAUUAGUUAGUUGGUGGGGUAAGGGCCUACCAAGGCGGCGAUCCGUAACUGGUCGGAGAGGAUGAUCAGUCACACGGGAACUGAGACAGGGACAAGAGUCCUACGGGAGGGAGCAGUGGGGAAUGUGGGACAGUGGGGGAAAGCCUGAUCCAGUGGGGCGGCGUGUGUGAAGAAGGUCUUGGGAUUGGAAAGAACGUUAAGGGGGGAGGAAGGGCAUUAAGUUAAGACCUUGCUGUUUUGACGGUACCAACAGAAUAAGCACCGGCUAACUACGUG